GGAAGGAAGGAGGCAGUUCCGGGUUUCCCACAGGAGUUCUGAGAGACCAUCAAACCAGAUGAUCAUGUGGCAAGUGUUCCAGCCAGUUCCAGAUGAAGACACCACCCCCUGAAGAAGCUACCCUAUUUCCACUAGACAGAGGAGGGCGAGAAUUCCAUGAUUCCAUGAUUCCCAAUAUGUAAGGACUACACCUCAAUCAGCAUGAGGCAAUUACAGAAGAAAGACCAUUGGUCCCUCUGCCUCCCAUAAAGAUUUAUGGGGAUCACAUCUCUCAGGGAAAAAUGAGGCAGGAGAAUAGGGUCUGGAGGCAGGGAUCAUAAGGCUGAUUCACACUGACUUCCUAGAACUAAAUCAAAAGGAAAACCCCAACUUUCCACACCUAAGUAACAAAAGGACUGGAGGCUACUCCCUUUGCAAACCACCCCCUGCCGCCCUUUUUCUACAUGGUAGAUGGAAAAUUUAAAGUAUCUCUAAUUGGUUGCAGGUUGCAGAAAGCAACCAAUCAGAGGCUUGCAUAGGAGUGUAACUUUGUAACUUCAGCCUCUGAUUGGUUGCUUUUCACAACCAAUCAGACACUUGCAUAAGUGUAACCUUUGUAACUUCAGCCUCUGACUGGUUGCUUUCCUAAACCAAACAGACUAAUUGCGGGCCAUACUUCACUUACAUAGCGUGUACACCAAGUAGUAACCAAUGGGAAACCUCUAGAUGGUAUUUAAAUCCCAGAAAAUUCUGUAAUGGGGGUCUUGAGCUCCUAUGCUCCGGCCGCUCCCACCCUGUGGAGUGUACUUUGAUUUUCAAUAAAUCUCUGCUUUUGUUGCUUCAUUCUUUCCUUGUUUUGUUUGUGUGUUUUCUUCAAUUCUUUGUUCAAAACACCAAGAACCUGUACACCCUACACCAGUAACACAUGCUAUGGUCAAUAUCUACAAUUUCUGUCUCCAAGUAUGCAAGCACUACUUUGAACCGCAUACACUAACAACUUGGUGUUCUGGGUCAUUAGUUGCAAAUCGACAGGUUCUGUUUUAGUCACAAAAUCAAGUUUCAUCACCG
rnacentral:lncRNA from 1 species